rnacentral:rRNA from 1 species
AACGAACGCUGGCGGUAUGCCUAAUACAUGCAAGUCGUACGAGAAAGUCCGCAAGGAUGAGUAUAGUGGCGCACGGGUGAGUAACACGUAGGUAACCUGCCUUUUUGAGAGGGAUAACUCGAAGAAAUUCGGGCUAAUACCUCAUACGCUACAGCGGGGUAGUUCUGCUGUAGGAAAUGAUUGCCUCUGCUUGCAAGCAAUCGCAAAAAGAUGGGCCUGGGGGACAUUAGCUAGUUGGUGGGGUAAUGGCCUACCAAGGCAACGAUGUCUAGCCGGGUUGAGAGAAUGUCCGGCCACACUGGAACUGAGACACGGUCCAGACUCCUACGGGAGGCAGCAGUAGGGAAUAUUGCGCAAUGGGCGAAAGCCUGACGCAGCAAUACCGCGUGAGUGAGGAAGGUCUUCGGAUUGUAAAGCUCUGUCGGGAUGGAAAAAUGGCGCUUAGUCUAAUAGGCUGAGCGAUUGAUGGUACAUCCAAAGGAAGCACCGGCUAACUUCGUGCCAGCAGCCGCCGUAAUAC